rnacentral:lncRNA from 1 species
CCGCAUUUUACAGCAUUUCGCAACGAAACUUUGGAAUAUUACUAAUUUUGUGAUGCUCUUUCAAGCUGUGAUGAAAUUUUUGUCUAGAUCAAAAUUUUAGUUAUAAGGGGAAAGGUCCAUUAGUUUUGCUGUUUUGUUUUAAAAUGCACGUAUUUGUUUAUUACGGGAAAAUAAUGGAGCGCUGAAAGUGCUUCUCAGCCAAUCACAGUCUGCCAUUUUACCGGAAGUGAUACAGAUGCUUGCCAUAUAAUAAUUAGAGAU